GAUGAACGCUGGCGGCGUGCCUAAUACAUGCAAGUCGAGCGAACAGACGAGGAGCUUGCUCCUCUGACGUUAGCGGCGGACGGGUGAGUAACACGUGGAUAACCUACCUAUAAGACUGGGAUAACUUCGGGAAACCGGAGCUAAUACCGGAUAAUAUAUUGAACCGCAUGGUUCAAUAGUGAAAGACGGUUUUGCUGUCACUUAUAGAUGGAUCCGCGCCGCAUUAGCUAGUUGGUAAGGUAACGGCUUACCAAGGCAACGAUGCGUAGCCGACCUGAGAGGGUGAUCGGCCACACUGGAACGGGGACACGGUCAAGACUACUACGGGAGGCAGCAGUAGGGAAUCUUCCGCAAUGGGCGAAAGCAUGACGGAGUAACGCCGAGUGAGUGAUGAAGGUCUUCGGAUCGUAAAACUCUGUUAUUAGGGAAGAACAAAUGUGUAAGUAACUAUGCACGUCUUGACGGUACCUAAUAAGAAAGCAACGGCUAACUACGUG
rnacentral:rRNA from 1 species